UAGAUUGAAGCCAGUUGUCUUGGGCGUUUAGCUGUUAACUAAGUUUUUGUAGGUUAAAGUCCUGCCAGUCUAG
rnacentral:tRNA from 1 species